rnacentral:rRNA from 1 species
GUAGGGAAUAUUGGGCAAUGGUCGGAAGACUGACCCAGCCAUGCCGCGUGCAGGAAGACGGCCCUCUGGGUUGUAAACUGCUUUUAUCUGGGAAGAAAAAGGCCAUGCGUGGCAAAUUGCCGGUACCAGAUGAAUAAGCACCGGCUAACUCCGUGCCAGCAGCCGCGGUAAUACGGAGGGUGCGAGCGUUGUACGGAUUUAUUGGGUUUAAAGGGUGCGUAGGCGGCUGAGUAAGUCAGCGGUGAAAGACUUCGGCUUAACCGGAGCAGUGCCGUUGAUACUGGUUGGCUUGAGUGUCGGAGGGGUACAUGGAAUUGAUGGUGUAGCGGUGAAAUGCAUAGAUACCAUCAGGAACACCGAUAGCGAAGGCAUUGUACUGGCCGACAACUGACGCUGAUGCACGAAAGUGUGGGGAUCGAACAGGAUUAGAAACCCCGGUAGUCC